AUUGAACGCUGGCGGCAGGCCUAACACAUGCAAGUCGAACGAGUGGCGGACGGGUGAGUAAUGUGUGGGAAACUGCCUGAUGGGGGGGGAUAACUACUGGAAACGGUCGCUAAUACCGCAUACCAGCAUAUGUGCCCAGAUGGGAAUAGCGUGUUGGGGGGGUAACGGCUCACCAAGGAGACGAUCCCUAGCUGGUCUGAGAGGAGGACCAGCAACACUGGAACUGAGACACGGGCCAGACUCCUACGGGAGGCAGCAGUGGGGAAUAUUGCACAAUGGGCGCAAGCCUGAUGCAGCCAUGCCGCGUGUAUGAAGAAGGCCUUCGGGUUGUAAAGUACUUUCAGCGGGGAGGCGUUACCCGCAGAAGAAGCACCGGCUAACUCCGUGCCAGCAGCCGCGGUAAUAC
rnacentral:rRNA from 1 species